UUGUAUGUUCUACUUCUACACAAACAGAUCUAUAACAAAAUUAUUAAAGGAUCACAUUAAAGGACUUUAUCGAACACAAGAGUAACGGGCAGUCGUCUUUUUCAAAAUUUUAAUGGAGAUUGAACAUCUGGGAACGAAGCCAUGGCCAAUCUGCUCAACUAUGGCUUAAACAUCUUCACAUUUAUUGCACCAGUCUAUUAUCAAGUACAAUGCAUCAGGUCACGAAGAGCCUGAGUUGGAUUCUAGGAGAGGUACAUACAAGUAAAAUGGGAAAGACAAAGCUAAUGAGUAUAUGGACUUGUUUUCUGAAUGAGCAUUUGAGUAUCCAACGCUUUGGGUUUGUCAAUGGGAUGAAUCGGAAUAGAACAAGGCCCAAGAAAGAAGGAAAAGUGCAAGCUCAACUCUUGUGUGUUAUUAAAUACUAUGUAUUGCUUGUGAUCUUGUUACUUAAAGAGUUAAAGUGGAGAGAGUUCUUGGAACUACUUUUCUUUCUUCUUGUAACCGUGUAUUGCUGUGAUUUUGCAACUUAAAGUGUAGUCGAGUUCUUCUUGUAAGCAAGAAGCUUAUCUAGAGAGUUUGAUCUAAAGAAUACGAUAUAAAUCCGAUUUAUUCAGUUGUUUCUUGACACAAAUAGUGCCAAAAAAAGGAAAAAUAGCACAUAGUAAUAUUUUGUUGAAAAAAUCAAAUUUUAUCCUGGAUAAAACCAAAGCAUCACCAAAUUCCAUUCUCCUUUUUUUUUUUUGGGCAAACCUUUUAUUCUCUUUUUUAUUCACCUAAAUCUGUUUUUUCUUACUAUUUUAGUCCAAUCGGUAUGUAGCUUGAUGUUUUCCAUUUUGCUGUGUGUUACAU